AAAGUCGUAACAAGGUUUCCGUAGGUGAACCUGCGGAAGGAUCAUUACAAAUCAUUGCAAUCCCGGCCUAUCUAUUGGCUGGGUGAGCACAUUGGCACAGGGCUGCAGCAGCACUAGCUGCUUGCAGCUUUGAUGUUUACGCUUGUAUGUUUGACAGAGUAAAUUGUGACUAAAAAUAUAGACAACUUUUAACAAUGGAUCUCUUGGCUCUU
rnacentral:misc_RNA from 1 species